CUAAUUAUAACUUUUUAUGUUAUGAAGUUGAUAUGAUUGUAACCUGAUAAUAUAAAAGGGUUUUGUUGUUGUUGUUUUUAAUUGUACUAAUGUAUUAUGUGUUGUUGGAGGAGAGGUUGUCCCUUCUGCAUGAUGUGACUGUGCUUUUUAAUCCACUGAAUGUAUUUUAAUCUAUUACAGUUUGCACUUUUCUCCAAAUGAGACUCUACCCCCUCCAAAAAAAAAAAAAAAAAUCAGACUGGUAUCUUUUGUUUUGGAACAAUAGAGUAUCAUGUUCAAGUAAGCAUAUAGUGAAAACAUGAUAUUUCUUCUGUGAAGAAUUACCUGGACAAGGGAGUUGAAUGUCUGCUUCCUAGUCAUUUGGCAUAAUCAAGUUUUCAUUGUUUUGUUCAAUUUCUCCAACUUGUUUGUAAUACACUGGCCUCAUAGUUUCUUACUCCCUUUUACAUUUUACUGCUAAGAAAACUAGUUAUAGAUGCUACUGAAAUGAGCAGCAUAUCUAAUUAGAGAAUUGGGUGUUCACUGUCAUUCUGGGUUAAUAAACCAUCCCAUUUAGCUCAACUGAAGAAAAUCCAUUUAAGCAGUCAUGGUGCCCGUUCUUCAGUUGAAGUAACAUAUACAUGGGCUCUCUUAGCAGGGAUCAGGCCAUGUCCAUCAAGAACAUGAAGUCCAAUGGAUGUGAUUUAAUUAUAAGCAUGUUUAGGGUUUUCAUUUUAUGAUCUUUUUAAUUUUCUCUCCACAGUAAAGUUUUUAGAGACAUUAUCUGGUAUGCUUGAAUUUUAGAAAGAACAAAAUUGCUUUUCCUUAUGUCUGUAAAAAUCAAAAGUGAAACAAAAGAUAUUUUGGUAGAGAUAGAAAUGAUGGAAAAUUUUUAAUAUUCUGUCUUACAGAAUUCACAUUCAGUCUUCUAAAGCUCUUCUAUAGCCCAACCAAAGGUACUAGGAUGGGUUCUCUCCUUCAGCAUAGUUUUUAGAAUAAAGUCUUAUCUAAGUGUAUCAAUUCUUUUGCAUAUUUUUGCUUAUCCUAGAAGAAAUCCCUCUUCUGAAGUUUCCAGACUACCUCUGUAAAUUGCUUUCCUUCAACCCACCCCUUUCUGGAGGUAUCCACUACCAUGUACUAUGGGAAUAAACUAGGGAAGGAAAAUUAGUCCACUUACUCAAUCUUUUACAGAAAUUAAAUUUGUUUCAGUGUCAGCAGUACUGUCAAACUUACUGGAAUGAAAAAACAAAUUUGAAGCAAAUGAAGAUUUUAGAUAUAUAAUAAGUAUAUUUUGCCCAACUCAGAAGUAGCUUCUUACUAUAGAACCAAUUUACUUUUUUAUGAUUUCCACAACUUUUAAAGUUCCAACUUUUCAUUUGAGUGAAGAAUGAAAAUCUGUGUAUUUAGUUGUAGAGCAUUUGUGCAAGCAUUUCUUUGCUUUCACAUUGUAUUAAUAGUGCCAGACCAAGAGUUAAUACCAGUGACUUAGAUUCAAAAUAUAUAUAAUCACAGAAGCUUAAAGUCCCAAUGUUUAUCAAAAUAUGUAAUGCCUUAUUUAGUAUUCCAAAGACUCAGUGCUGUCAAGCCAAGUGAUCUUCUUUUCUCUGUUUUCAUGGACAAGAGAACAUUUCACAACAGCUUGUUCAAUCACAUUUCUUUCACUUUCUCCCCAUGGGCUUCAGUAUGAUUAAGUCCCUUUUCUACAUUUAAUAAUCUACAAGCUAAAUUUUCAAAAACAAGGGACACCAGCUGUAUUGAAUAGCCAUAGGCUUACUUAAAUGCAAUAAAAGACAUAUUUCAAGCUUUCUAGAAAUAAAGAAAAGGCAUUUAGCCAAGUGAUAUAUGAUAGUAUCGGGCUACAUCAAAACUUGAGAUUUACUGACAUAAAAAAAUAGAAACUUCAUCAAAACAAUAUAAAGAAUCCAGGAUAUUUUACCAAGAGACAAAGGUUUUUAUUAAAGCUAUAGCUUCAAAAUAUUCUUAGCUAUUAAUAUUUAUAUUGUACCAUAGAUUCCCAAAGAGUCUCUUGAGUCCAUCUAUUUACCAGCAUACCAUAAUCAUUAGUGGGCUGUGUACAAUUCAUAGAAUUUAUUUAUGACCCGCUUAUGGGCACAGGGAUACCAACUUGAUUGGUAACUUAUAGGGAUAAUAACCCCCAAAUAAAGGUGUAGAAAACUUGAAUAUCCCAGAGUGGGUAUCUGUGAUCAUUGCAAAUUAAAAGACAGGUGGGUAGUUAUACAGAAAGUCAUAUAUUGGUUGGAUAGUAAGAUUAUAGGUUCCUGCCUUCUUGAUAGUGCCUCACAAAAGUUGGGACUAUUCUGUUAUUAGAGAACUUCAGAGGAAGAGGUCCAACAACUUCCCUUGGCAACCUAUCCUAUUGUUUAACAGCAGUCACUGUCAGGUAAUCCAGAUGUUUCACAUUGCGUUGUUAAAAAUAUUUGCUUACCCUUGUUCAGUGGAAAUGCUAAGAGUGGUCAUUUUCUGCAUAAUAGCCAUUCACAUUCAUAAACAUCAUUAUAAAGUUGUUCCUUUUCUUCCUCCGUGUACUUUUCCAUUCUUUCAAGUACCUUAUUCUCAGAUCUUUUAAUUACCUUUCUUUUCUGAAGCCUCUGUAAAUUCUUCACCUCAUUCUCAAACUAUGGAGCCUUAAAAAAGGGGGAAAUAUAGACCAAGGACAACUUCCAAAGAUACAGGAGUCUUUUCAGAUCUCUAAAGUCAUGUAAAAAUCCUCUAAAUGAAAACAGGGGAGUAACAGCAGCAACUUUGCUGCUUAUUUUGUAAUCUGUAAUGUCUUUCUUUCUACUUAUAACACAAAGAUCCAAAUCCAAUUUUUCUUAUAAAUCUAGUUUCUUUUCAAUGACAUCCAUCAAAAAAUCAAUGAUUGAUUGAAUUAAUUUGGUAGAUGUAGAGCUGGAAGUGACAAAGAUCAUCUCAUCCAACCCCCAUAUUUUACAGAUGAUGAAGAAAGGUCAAAUGUCUUGUCUAGGGUCCCAAAAGUAGUAAGUAGCAGAGCUGGAUAAUGAACUGGAGUCAAAAACCUAAUAUUUUGUUUAUUGUCUCCUUCCAAGACCUCUAAAUAUGCUUGGAUCCUCAUUUGGACUUCUUAAGUCCCUUCACUGUGCUUUUCACUGUUUUCUAUACUAAAAUCUUGCUUCUCCUACUCGGCUCAAAUCUUUCUUCUUUAUUUCAGCCUACCUACCUCCUACUUAACUCUUUCAGACCCUGCUUCAGAAAUUCCAUAAAGAUAAUUCGGUUACUUGUUUUAUAACUUUGAAUAUUUUUUCCCCUUAACUUGCAUAGAAGAGAUGUCUUCCUUAACAAAUGCAAAUGAGACUUUUUUAAAGGUGUGUUUCAGUGUCUGAUCUAGCUUUAAUCUAUCAAAAAUGUUUUUAACAUGAUUAAAUCUAUUGAACUAUUAAAACAACCAUGUUCAAUCAUUUGAGUAAAACUGCCUGGCCAAUAUUUUCUACUUCAAAACAAAAUAAAAACUUUGCAAAUAAUCAAAUUAACAUUCAUAUUUUCAUAUUUUUUCGACUUCAUGUUCAUUGUCUUUGUACCAUAGUGAUAGUUGCAAUAAAAUAUGAUAUGAAUAAAUCUUUUUUUUUUAUCAGUGGGCUGUUAAUGACUCACUUUGACAGUAAAUUUAAUUUAUGCAGUGACAUUUUCAAUUAUAUGUAAUUUUAUUUGCAUUCAUCUUUUAUGUAAGGAGAUUAAGCAAUAUCCUUCAUGAUUGGUUUUGUGAUCUUUGGGCUUUAUGGUAGAGGUCACUGAUAAGUCACCUCUUUAUUCUGCUUUGGUUAAGAUGCUAGUAAUGUGUUAGAAAUAGUAACUCAUAGUAACUCAUUCUUUAUUAUACAAAAAGGGACAUUUCUCCUGGCUCUCUGGGAGCAGAGAGGGAAGUCUGCUCCCACUCAUCAAAAACUAAGCAGAUGGAGUUGACAAAAUAUUUUCUAUCCUAGCUGGGAGAAAAUUGCUAUAUGCCAGGUAUUGGUUUGAUCAAAAAGGCAGUAACCUAUUAUGAAUGAAUAAAUGAAAGGAAGGAAGCAAGAAAGAAAGAUCCACGUAGCAGCAGUGUGAGAGGUUUGACAAACUGUUAAAAUAGUGAGCUCUGUUUAAUCUGCAUCUUAAUUUUGUCUUUAGAAAGGGCAGAGGGUGUGAGGACAGCAGUAGUUCUCUGGCAAUCUGAUUUCUAAAAUGAUACCCUUCUUCCCCUUGCUCCCACCAUGUAAAAAAGACAAACUGGAGGGACUUUGUGGCGAUUGUGUGACUUUUAGAAACAAACUUGUCAUGUAAAAAUCCUCUAAAGGAAAGCACAGGGGAGUAACAGCAACAUCUUAUAGUUUUAAAGCGUAAUCAAAUCAUAUUCUUUUAUUUGAUUCCAACAACAAUGUGAAAUAGUCAUGUAUCAUUAUCUUUUCAGUUUUACAAAUGAGAAAACUGAGGCCAAAAGAGUAGAAAACACUUUGCCAAAGAUCAUAUAAUUAGGAAGUAGUGGAACCCCAGGACUCCAGAGUAACCCAGGUUCAAGGAAAUUCUUGCUUUGCACAUGUCAUACCAUUAUAGUCGCAUUUUCUUCCAUAAAAUCCUGUUCCAGGGGUUCAUCAUGGCAUGGUGAUAAUCAAUGAUUUCUUGAAAGCUAUCCUGGGAUAGUAAAAAUUCUGGUAGAUUCUGCUUAGCUGGAAAAAGUUCAACUAUAGCCCUAGCAAUAGACUGCUUCCCAAAGUCCAGGCUAGCUCAUUAGGGGACAGCUGCUCACCAACAUGCUGGCCAGUUGGCAGUGACUUCUUUGGCCAUGAAAAAUAAUAACGUAAACUAGCCCUCAGUUGUCUGUGGACCCCUACUUCUUCUGUAGUAAUGACAUCAGGGAACAAGGCAGAAGGUGCUAAAAAUCAAUUUUUAUACUCUGUUAACAAUACCUUAGUUGUUGG
ensembl:lncRNA